rnacentral:rRNA from 1 species
GACGAACGCUGGCGGCGUGCUUAACACAUGCAAGUCGUACGGUAAGGCCCUUUCGGGGGUACACGAGUGGCGAACGGGUGAGUAACACGUGAGUAACCUGCCCACAACUUUGGGAUAACGCUAGGAAACUGGUGCUAAUACUGGAUAUGUGCUCCUGCUGCAUGGUGGGGGUUGGAAAGCUCCGGCGGUUGUGGAUGGACUCGCGGCCUAUCAGCUUGUUGGUGGGGUAGUGGCCUACCAAGGCGGCGACGGGUAGCCGGCCUGAGAGGGUGACCGGCCACAUUGGGACUGAGAAACGGCCCAGACUCCGACGGGAGGAAGAAGGGGGGAAUAUGGCAAAAGGGGGGAAAGCCUGAUGCAGAAACGCCGGGGGCGGGAUGACGGCCUUCGGGUUGUAAACCGUUUUCAGCAGGGAAGAAGCUUUUUGUGAGGGUACCUGCAGAAGAAGCACCGGCAAAAUAAGG